rnacentral:piRNA from 1 species
UAACAAUUUAACACUUAACCCAGUUU